UUGGCCUACGGGAGGCAGCAGUGGGGGAUAUUGCACAAUGGGGUAAACCCUUAUUCAGCUACGCCGCUUUAUUGAAGAAGUAUUUCGGUAUGUAAAGCUCUAUCAGCAGGGAAGAAAAAUGACGGUACCUGAGUAAGAAGCACCGGCUAAAUACGUGCCAGCAGCCGCGGUAAUACGUAUGGUGCAAGCGUUAUCCGGAUUUACUGGGUGUAAAGGGAGCGUAGGCGGCGCGUUAAGUCUGAUUGU
rnacentral:rRNA from 1 species